rnacentral:rRNA from 1 species
UAAUCGGAAUUACUGGGCGUAAAGCGUGCGCAGGCGGUUAUGCAAGACAGAGGUGAAAUCCCCGGGCUCAACCUGGGAACUGCCUUUGUGACUGCAUGGCUAGAGUACGGUAGAGGGGGAUGGAAUUCCGCGUGUAGCAGUGAAAUGCGUAGAUAUGCGGAGGAACACCGAUGGCGAAGGCAAUCCCCUGGACCUGUACUGACGCUCAUGCACGAAAGCGUGGGGAGCAAACAGGAUUAGAUACCCUGGUAGUCAAGGGCG